AGAGGUUUGAUCAUGGCUCAGGAUGAACGCUGGCGGCGUGCCUAAUGCAUGCAAGUCGAGCGACGCAUGCCGGAGGGGUAACCCACUGGUAUGACGGAGCGGCGAACGGGUGAGUAACACGUGAGCAACCUGCCCCACAGACCGGGAUAGCCCAGGGCAAACCUGGAUUAAUACCGGAUACCCUCGGAGGACGGCAUGGUCCAUCGAGGAAAUGCCUUUGUGCUGUGGGAUGGGCUCGCGGCUUAUCAGCUAGUUGGUGGGGUAACGGCCCACCAAGGCAUUGACGAGUAGCUGGUCUGAGAGGACGAUCAGCCACACUGGGACUGAGACACGGCCCAGACUCCUACGGGAGGCAGCAGCAGGGAAUCUUGCGCAAUGGGCGAAAGCCUGACGCAUCAACGCCGCGUGGGGAAUGAA
rnacentral:rRNA from 1 species